AUUGAACGCUGGCGGCACGCUUAACACAUGCAAGUCGAACGGCAGCACGGGUGCUUGCACCUGGUGGCGAGUGGCGGACGGGUGAGUAAUGCAUGGGAAUCUGCCUAUCAGUGGGGGACAACUUGGGGAAACUCAAGCUAAUACCGCGUAAUACCGUUUAGGUUGAAAGGAUGGGAUCUAAAUUUAGACCAUUUGCUGAUAGAUGAGCUCAUGUUGGAUUAGCUAGUUGGUGGGGUAAGGGCCUACCAAGGCGAUGAUCCAUAGCUGGUUUGAGAGGAUGAUCAGCCACACUGGGACUGAGACACGGCCCAGACUCCUACGGGAGGCAGCAGUGGGGAAUAUUGGACAAUGGGGGGAACCCUGAUCCAGCAAUGCCGCGUGUGUGAAGAAGGCCUUCGGGUUGUAAAGCACUUUAGUUGGGGAGGAAUAGCCAUACAUUAAUAGUGUAUGGAGUGACGUUACCCAAAGAAUAAGCACCGGCUAACUCCGUGCCAGCAGCCGCGGUAAUACGGAGGGUGCGAGCGUUAAUCGGAAUGACUGGGCGUAAAGGGCACGCAGGCGGUUAUUCGAGUCUGAUGUGAAAGCCCCGGGCUUAACCUGGGAGGUGCAUUGGAUACUGGAUAGCUAGAGUAUGCUAGAGGGAGGCGGAAUUUCCAGUGUAGCAGUGAAAUGCGUAGAUAUUGGAAGGAACACCGAUGGCGAAGGCAGCCUUCUGGGGCGAUACUGACGCUCAUGUGCGAAAGCGUGGGUAGCGAACAGGAUUAGAUACCCUGGUAGUCCACGCCCUAAACGAUGCCAACUAGGCGUUGGGUUUAUGAUUCAGUGCCGCAGUUAACACAUUAAGUUGGC
rnacentral:rRNA from 1 species